rnacentral:misc_RNA from 1 species
UUGUUUAUUUAAAAUAUAAACUCAGACUAAUUGAUAAAAUAUAGAGUUGUGGUCCUUUGGUGAAGGCUCACCCGUCCUUUGUCUGAUGUCAAACCUAAUUUCUUUCAAAAUCAAAAGUAUCUCAAUCAAAACAAAGAUCCAGUGGACUUUUUGCUGCCUAAACAAACAAAAAGAACGCUUCACCAAAGUAAUAAAAUAAGUAACACAAAGGGUGGGAGAUUCUAUGCAAGCAUAGAAAAAUCUCGGUAAUGAUCCUUCCGCAGGUUCACCUACGGAAA